rnacentral:rRNA from 1 species
AGCGAACGCUGGCGGCAGACCUAACACAUGCAAGUCGAACGAAGUCUUCGGACUUAGUGGCGGACGAGUGAGUAACACGUGGGAACGUGCCUUUAGGUUCGGAAUAACUCAGGGAAACUUGUGCUAAUACCGAAUGUGCCCUUCGGGGGAAAGAUUUAUCGCCUUUAGAGCGGCCCGCGUCUGAUUAGCUAGUUGGUGAGGUAAAGGCUCACCAAGGCGACGAUCAGUAGCUGGUCUGAGAGGAUGAUCAGCCACAUUGGGACUGAGACACGGCCCAAACUCCUACGGGAGGCAGCAGUGGGGAAUCUUGCGCAAUGGGCGAAAGCCUGACGCAGCCAUGCCGCGUGAAUGAUGAAGGUCUUAGGAUUGUAAAAUUCUUUCACCGGGGACGAUAAUGACGGUACCCGGAGAAGAAGCCCCGGCUAACUUCGUGCCAGCCGCCGCAGUAAUAC